UAAGUACAUUGUGUAUUAUUUAAUUAACGUGCUUAAGUUUUACUUGUUUGACACGAAGGCUCCGAAAUUAACGUUGCCAGAAUUGUCCACUGAGUAUGGCGAAAAUUAGCUAUAAGGCUAAAAGCUAACGUACUUUGAAGUUAUAACGUUACAUGGUAUAAAGUAUGUUUAAGGAUACAGUCAAAGUUAUUACUGUAACUAAUUAAUGUAGCCUCUUGAAAGUCUCUUUCAGAAGGUAAAUUAUCUGAAAAAUAAAAGUUAUUUGGCAUUAAUGGAAUUACAAUGAUUUGAUUGCCUAAACAUUGCACAUGCAAAAUAUUAAAUACUGUUUUGCAUUAAAAGUUCAGCAUAAGUGUUUGUUUGAUUAACUUCCUUUGCUUUUGUUUUGUACAAAGGAAAAGUAGAAUCUCAUCCAAAUAAAAAUAAACAAACUAAAGGCACUGUGUCCUACACAGACCCUCCAAAAUAUAACCACCCAAAACCCAAGUCAGUUGAAGAUCAACACAAACCAAAUAAAGAUGUGCAUUCUACAAACAAUAACAAAAGAUCAAGUUUUGUGUCAAACACACUUAGAUGAGGCGUGCCCGAUCCCUGACUUUGUCUACCCUACAUUAAGUUGCACACUUCAUGACAGUAAACAUCGGUAUCAAGCUGGUGUGAUUGAUCUAUACCCUGGCCUAGAAUAAGCUGUGACACUAUGAGACGGUCACAUAAUGAACAGGCAUCUUACAGACAACCGAAAGAGGCAUACGUAUUCUCUACAAUCCCAAAUUCUGGAUUGACGCCCCAGUACCAGAGGGCACCCCAAUCCCAGAGAGCACGCCAAUCCCAGAGAGCAUCCAUCUGAAAGCAGGUGAUGAAUUUACUACUAAUCAAGGAACUGGCUUUACUGACGAGAUGCGCAUGAUAUCGCAUGCGAUUUAUCGUGCAGCCCUAGAUUUUACAUUAGUGACAACUCAUCUUAGAGGAUAAACAUGUACAUUUCUCUGAAUCUGAGUUAAUAGUUACAAAUACAGAGCUUAUAAUGUCUGUCAUUGCUCAACCACAAAGACCUAAAAGUACAGACAGCUAAUUUCAUAACUAAUGCAGUAUUACACUGUGAAGUUAUUUAUAUAUACUGUUAAAAUAUUACACUACCAUAUAAUUAACUCUAUUUGUCCAGGUGAGGUAACACAACGAAAAAAUAACAGGAUGGAGACUACCUGAUUCUUCACCUAUGGCCUCAGCUUCAAAUGCAAGAAGUCCAGCAACUGUCUGAGUUGGUGGAUAUUCUGUCAGAGACUGUGUGAACAACGUUAUGAACAGAAUGAUGUCUAAUUGUCUUAUGGCCAAGUUCAAUAUGAGCGGUGGUGGACAUCUGGAAAAGAAGGCUUUUAAAGGCACACCUUUGUAUUAUGUUAUUCAAGAUGCUGUGAAGAGGUGGAGCCCAAAUGCCACAGACUCGGAAAUAGAUGCAGCUAUGGCAGACCACCUCAAGCACGCUCCAGGAAGAGCUGGGGGUUGUGAAUACACUAAAUAAGCCAAACAGCUGUAAUGUGUAAAAGAGAGAGUUCACCCAAAAAUGAAAAUUGUUAUAAUUUUCUUACCCACAUGUUUCAAACCUGUAUACAUUUCUAUUUUCUGCUGAACACAAAGAUUGAAAAAUGUUUGUAACCAAGCUAACUGUCAAUAAUUUUUUUUUACAACUGUAGUAAUGGGUUGUGAGAUCUGCUUUCUGCUUUCUAUUCUUUCAAAUAUCUUUGUGUUCAGCAGAACAUAGAAAAGUAUACAGGUUUGAAACAUAAGAGAGAGUAAAUUGCUAAAUAAUCAAUUUUGGGUGAACUAUCCUUUUAUAUAGUAAAGUAUUUUGAAAUUGUUAUUAUAGUUAAACAGUUUAAAAAAAUAAAAAGUGCCAAAUCAGAA